UAUCGAUAUAUGACAUACGCAUGUAUUCGCCUCUGCGAGUCAAGGAUCACAUGUAUGGCAGUCCAAUUUUGAAUAUCAAGUGGCACCAGACACUUAAUUCUACCGAACCUAAACUGAUAACUGCUGAUAAGCAUAUAGUGAGAGUUUGGGAUCCUAAUACAGGAAACAACGUGAGUAGCAUUGAACGUGAUAAUGGCUCUAUCAAUGAUGU